CGUAGGGGGCAAGCGUUGUCCGGAUUUAUUGGGCGUAAAGCGCUCGCAGGUGGUCCGUCGCGUCGUGCGUGAAAGCCCCCGGCUCAACUGGGGAGUGUCGUGCGAUACGGGCGGACUGGAGGCCAGUAGGGGGAUGCGGAAUUCCGGGUGUAGUGGUGGAAUGCGUAGAGAUCCGGAGGAACACCAGCGGCGAAGGCGGCAUCCUGGACUGGUCCUGACACUCAUGAGCGAAAGCGUGGGGAGCGAUCCCGGAGUUAGAUACCCGGGGUAGUCCACGCCUGUAAACGAUGCGCACUAGGUGUCGGGGGUAUCGACCCCCUCGGUGCCGCAGCUAACGCGAUAAGUGCGCCGCCUGGGGACUACGGCCGCAAGGCUA
rnacentral:rRNA from 1 species